rnacentral:rRNA from 1 species
UGCUAUACAUGCAGUCGAGCGCAGGAAUAAACAGAACCCUUCGGGGUGAUGUUUAUGGAAUGAGCGGCGGACGGGUGAGUAACACGUGGGCAACCUGCCUGUAAGAUCGGGAUAACUCGCGGAAACGUGAGCUAAUACCGGAUAACACUUUUCAUCUCAUGGUGAGAAGAUAAAAGACGGUUUCGGCUGUCACUUACAGAUGGGCCCGCGGCGCAUUAGCUAGUUGGUGAGGUAACGGCUCACCAAGGCGACGAUGCGUAGCCGACCUGAGAGGGUGAUCGGCCACACUGGGACUGAGACACGGCCCAGACUCCUACGGGAGGCAGCAGUAGGGAAUCUUCCGCAAUGGACGAAAGUCUGACGGAGCAACGCCGCGUGAGUGAUGAAGGUUUUCGGAUCGUAAAACUCUGUUGUUAGGGAAGAACAAGUUGGGUAGUAACUGACCCAACCUUGACGGUACCUAACCAGAAAGCCACGGCUAACUACGUGCCAGCAGCCGCGGUAAUACGUAGGUGGCAAGCGUUGUCCGGAAUUAUUGGGCGUAAAGCGCUCGCAGGCGGUCUUUUAAGUCUGAUGUGAAAGCCCACGGCUUAACCGUGGAGGGUCAUUGGAAACUGGAGGACUUGAGUACAGAAGAGGAGAGUGGAAUUCCACGUGUAGCGGUGAAAUGCGUAGAGAUGUGGAGGAACACCAGUGGCGAAGGCGACUCUCUGGUCUGUAACUGACGCUGAGGAGCGAAAGCGUGGGUAGCGAACAGGAUUAGAUACCCUGGUAGUCCACGCCGUAAACGAUGAGUGCUAGGUGUUAGGGGGUUUCCGCCCCUUAGUGCUGAAGUUAACGCAUUAAGCACUCCGCCUGGGGAGUACGGCCGCAAGGCUGAAACUCAAAAGAAUUGACAGGGGCCCGCACAAGCGGUGGAGCAUGUGGUUUAAUUCGAAGCAACGCGAGAACCUUGAUCUUAGUUGCCAGCAUUCAGUUGGGCACUCUAAGGUGACUGCCGGUGACAAACCGGAGGAAGGUGGGGAUGACGUCAAAUCAUCAUGCCCCUUAUGACCUGGGCUACACACGUGCUACAAUGGAUGGAACAAAGGGAAGCGAACCCGUGAGGUCAAGCCAAUCCCAUAAAACCAUUCUCAGUUCGGAUUGUAGGCUGCAACUCGCCUACAUGAAGCCGGAAUCGCUAGUAAUCGCGGAUCAGCAUGCCGCGGUGAAUACGUUCCCGGGCCUUGUACACACCGCCCGUCACACCACGAGAGUUGGUAACACCCGAAGUCGGUGAGGUAACC